UUUUUUGAUUUUGUAAAUCUGCAUAAACAUACCGUGAUUCUGAAUCAUUUCCUUCCCUUCAUCUCAAUUUUAUUUUCAAAAUUUUGUUAACAAACAUCACACUCUCCUAUGUUGAUGCAUGUCAUUGUGGUCUCAGCUUCAUGUAUAUUUGAAUUUCUCUCACCACUUCGAUUUUCAAAUUCUUAAAUGUUAUAGAUAUUUAAU
rnacentral:lncRNA from 1 species